AGAGUUUGAUCAUGGCUCAGGACGAACGCUGACGGCGUGCUUUAGACAUGCAAGUCGAACGAGAAAGCCCUUCGGGGUGAGUACAGUGGCGAACGGGUGAGUAACACGUGGGCAACCUGCCCCUCGCAGGGGGACAACCGGAGGAAACUCCGGCUAAUACCCCGUACGCUUGCCGGACCGCAUGGUAUCGGCAAGGAAAGGCAGCUUCGGCCAUCCGGCGAGGGAUGGGCCCGCGGUACAUUAGCUAGUUGGUGGGGUAACGGCCCACCAAGGCGACGAUGUAUAGCUGGUCUGAGAGGAUGAUCAGCCACACUGGGACUGAGACACGGCCCAGACUCCUACGGGAGGCAGCAGUCGGGAAUCUUGCGCAAUGGGCGAAAGCCUGACGCAGCAACGCCGUGUGGGUGAGGAAGGCCUUAGGGUCGUAAAGCCCUGUUGUUGGGGACGAAGGGCGAAGGGUUAAUAGCCCCUAGUCUGACGGUACCCUUCGAGGAAGCCCCGGCUAACUACGUGCCAGCAGCCGCGGUAAUACGUAGGGGGCGAGCGUUGUCCGGAAUUAUUGGGCGUAAAGAGCGUGUAGGCGGUCUGGUAAGUCUGCCGUGAAAACCCAGGGCUCAACCCUGGGCGUGCGGUGGAAACUGCCAGGCUAGAGGAUGGUAGAGGCGAGUGGAAUUCCGAGUGUAGCGGUGAAAUGCGCAGAUAUUCGGAGGAACACCAGUAGCGAAGGCGGCUCGCUGGGCCAUUCCUGACGCUGAGACGCGAAAGCGUGGGGAGCGAACAGGAUUAGAUACCCUGGUAGUCC
rnacentral:rRNA from 1 species